CCUACGGGAGGCUGCAGUAGGGAAUAUUGCUCAAUGGCGGAAACCCUGAAGCAGCCACGCCGCGUGGAGGAUGAAGGUUUUCGGAUUGUCAACUCCUUUUGUUAGAGACGAUAAUGACGGUAUCUAACGAAUAAGCACCGGCUCACUCCGUUCCAGCAGCCGCGGUAAUACGGCGGGUGCAAGCGUUACUCGGACUCACUGGGCGUAAAGCGCGCGUAGGCGGGAUAGCAAGUCAGAUGUGAAAUCCUAUGGCUUAACCAUAGAACUGCAUUUGAAACUGGUAUUCUAGAGUAUGGGAGAGGUAGGUGGAAUUCUUGGUGUAGGGGUAAAAUCCGUAGAGAUCAAGAGGAAUACGCAUUGCGAAGGCGACCUGCUAGAACAUAACUGACGCUGAUGCGCGAAAGCGUGGGGAGCAAACAGGAUUAGAUACCCCUGUAGUC
rnacentral:rRNA from 1 species